rnacentral:rRNA from 11 species
UAUCAGUGCUGUGAUAUUCUAAAGGCACUGAAUUCUGUAUAUUCUUGGGAGGUAAGCAGAUUCAGCCCUGUAUACUACUUGGAUGGGAGACCACCAAUGAAUACUAGGUGUUGUGAUCU